rnacentral:piRNA from 1 species
UGACCCCGAAGUCUAUGCAAAGAUGUCCACC